GAAAGAAGCAAUAAUGCAUUCCUAUAGAAGUAGUAGUAGUAGUACUGAUUUGAUUUUUAUACAGACAGCAAGCAUCUGCUGCAAAUGGCCAUUACGUACCGACCACUGACCACAAAAAAAAAUUGACAAUUCCAAUCCGCCAUCGCGAGCAAGCAAGGAAGGACAAAUAUGCAGGUCCCGCAACUCGCACAGUAAUUGCCCCCACACACACUUGCUUUCUUCUGUGUGUGGUUGGUCCCCUCCCCAGUACCCCCGCGCCAUUAUCUCCUCCUCUUCACCAUCAUCAUCAUCAUCAUCAUCAUCAUUUUCGUCGUGUCUCCUCGCUCAAAUCAAAUUCAAAUGUACUGCUGCUACUGCUAGUCUACUGCUACUUGCUGCGUCGACCACACCAACGGAGAUGAGAGAACCAAGCGCUGGACUCCCCCUCCGGCCGAUCCAUCGUUCCUUGUGCUGCUCCCGUGCUGUCUUUUUGUUCCUCCAUUUGGCUCAAAAUAUUUUUACAUAAACCACUCCCUUCCCGCACCUGCCCUGCUAAUAAUAAUAAUACUCCUAAUAAUGAUGUUUCAGUUACACCAAUCAACCUCUCUACAUAUACAUAUAUACAUAUAUAUAUAUAAAAGUCUACUAUCCAAUUUUUCCAGUUUCAGGCGGCCGGCGUCUCCAGAGCAACAAAAAGACUCUCAUCGUCGGAUUUGCCCUCUUUGGAAGACCAAUUUUACACCCUACCUUAAUACUUAUGAGGAGCACUGGUGCUGUACUGUAUCAGUCGUCUCGCGAUCGGUCGGUACAACUUAAUAUUACCAUAUUAAUAUUAGAAGACAUUCUUCCGUUGCCUAUCUUUCCCACCCUCGCUUUUUUC
rnacentral:lncRNA from 1 species